CUGCAUUAACGAUAGAAGUGGCAUCCUUUUUUGAGGCACAAAAAAAAGAUAUAACGGAUAGCGUGACCUUUU
rnacentral:sRNA from 1 species